UGGAUAUCUGCCUUUUGGUUCGGAAUAACCCCGGGAAACUGGGGCUAAUACCGGAUGGUUCCUUCGGGAUAAAGAUUUAUCGCCAAAAGAUGAGUCCGCGUACGAUUAGCUAGUUGGUGAGGUAACGGCUCACCAAGGCUACGAUCGGUAGCCGGCCUGAGAGGGUGACCGGCCACACUGGGACUGAGACACGGCCCAGACUCCUACGGGAGGCAG
rnacentral:rRNA from 1 species